rnacentral:misc_RNA from 1 species
CGUAACAAGGUUUCCGUAGGUGAACCUGCGGAAGGAUCAUUACCGAGUGCGGGAACCCAGUCGGGUCCCAAUCUCCCACCCGUGUCUACCACACCUAGUGUUGCUUUGGCGGGCCCACUCCUCCGGUGUUCCGCCGGGGGGGUCGUCCCGGGGCGCGGUGUGCCCCCGGGGCCCGUGCCCGCCAGAGGCACUCACUGUGAACGCUUUUGUGAAUGCGAGGAUUGUCUGAGUGACGAAAUGCAAUCGUUCAAAACUUUCAACAAUGGAUCUCUUGGUUCCGGCAUCGAUGAAGAACGCAGCGAAAUGCGAUAAGUAAUGUGAAUUGCAGAAUUCCGUGAAUCAUCGAAUCUUUGAACGCACAUUGCGCCCUCUGGUAUUCCGGGGGGCAUGCCUGUCCGAGCGUCAUUGCGAACCCUCAAGCACGGCUUGUGUGUUGGGCCGCCGUCCCCUCGUUUGGAGGGGACGGGCCUGAAAGGCAGCGGCGGCGUCGCGUCCGGUCCUCGAGCGUAUGGGGCUCUGUCACGCGCUCAAGGAGGGGUCCGGCCGGGGCCAUAGCCUCUGAAGGUCAAUUCUUCCAAGGUUGACCUCGGAUCAGGUAGGAGUACCCGCUGAACCUAAGCAUAUCA